rnacentral:pre_miRNA from 1 species
UAUGGCUUUUCAUUCCUAUGUGAUUGCUGCUCCGAACUCAUGUAGGGCUAAAAGCCAUGGG